rnacentral:pre_miRNA from 1 species
UUUGUACUCCCUCCGUUCGGAAUUAUUUGUCUCGGAAAUAGAUGUAUUUAGAACUAAAAUGCGUCUAGAUACAUCCAUUUCUACGAUAAGUAAUUCUGAACGGAGGAAGUAUGUG